rnacentral:snRNA from 1 species
AUCACUUCUCAACCUUUUGGCCAAGGUCAAGUGUAGUAUCUGUUCUUACCAAUUUAAUAUCUGGUGUGUCCUCUAUCCAAGGAUUUUUGACGCAGGUAGUAGGAAUAGGAACUUACUCCAUCACUCCACACAUCAAACUGGUAUUAUAGGUCUCAGGAACAGUGUCCCCCAU